AUUGAACGCUGGCGGCAGGCCUAACACAUGCAAGUCGAGCGGGGUUUUCGGACCUAGCGGCGGACGGGUGAGUAAUGCGUAGGAAGCUACCCGAUAGAGGGGGAUACCAGUUGGAAACGACUGUUAAUACCGCAUAAUGUCUACGGACCAAAGUGUGGGACCUUCGGGCCACAUGCUAUCGGAUGCGCCUACGUGGGAUUAGCUAGUUGGUGGGGUAAUGGCUCACCAAGGCGACGACCCCUAGCUGGUUUGAGAGGAUGAUCAGCCACACUGGACCUGAGACACGGUCCAGACUCCUACGGGAGGCAGCAGUGGGGAAUAUUGGACAAUGGGCGCAAGCCUGAUCCAGCCAUGCCGCGUGUGUGAAGAAGGCCUUCGGGUUGUAAAGCACUUUCAGUAGGGAGGAAGGGUGUUGUGUUAAUAGCACAGCAUUUUGACGUUACCUACAGAAGAAGCACCGGCUAACUCUGUGCCAGCCGCCGCAGUAAUAC
rnacentral:rRNA from 1 species